AGUGGGGAAUUUUGGACAAUGGGCGCAAGCCUGAUCCAGCCAUGCCGCGUGCAGGAUGAAGGCCCUCGGGUUGUAAACUGCUUUUGUACGGAACGAAAAGCCUCUCUCGAAUAAAGAGGGGUGAUGACGGUACCGUAAGAAUAAGCACCGGCUAACUACGUGCCAGCAGCCGCGGUAAUACGUAGGGUGCGAGCGUUAAUCGGAAUUACUGGGCGUAAAGCGUGCGCAGGCGGUCUUGCAAGACAGUGGUGAAAUCCCCGGGCUCAACCUGGGAACGGCCAUUGUGACUGCAAGGCUGGAGUACGGCAGAGGGGGGUGGAAUUCCGCGUGUAGCAGUGAAAUGCGUAGAUAUGCGGAGGAACACCGAUGGCGAAGGCAGCCCCCUGGGCCUGUACUGACGCUCAUGCACGAAAGCGUGGGGAGCAAA
rnacentral:rRNA from 1 species